rnacentral:lncRNA from 1 species
UUGUGCACACCCACACUACACGGGCAUGUGCUAGUCAAUGACAAAUCAGAAAUAACUAACUGCCCACCUGGGCUGUCCUAAGCCAAGCUUGAGUCACCAUUGGCUCUUGUGAGGCACAGGAAGUGAGGUAGGGAACAGCCUCUGGAAUUUGCGCACUUCCUGUGGAGAGAGCUAGAGGGCAGUUGGUGUUAGAAGCUUGAACAGAGAGGAUGUCCGCAGACAGCUUCCCUUCAGAUCGCUCACAUUACAUGAUGAUUGUUUUCCAAAUUCCUUACAAAGUGCCAUGUGAAGCUCAAUGAGAAGUCAGGUCUUGGCAAGUUUGAACAACUGAAGCUGUUGAUGUUGGGAAACACCAAACCAGCACCUGGAUUUCUAAAGAGGCUCAAACUGAGCUUUGUGGUUGACUCUUGUCAGGAUAAUUUGUCUUUAACCUGAGGCUCUGCAGGAGGAAUUUUCAUGAGUUAAAGGACAGUUUCCAAGAAAGUUAAAGAAUGGGAGCCUAGCUAAAUAAGCUUCAAGAAUCUUCAGAAACACUGGUUGGGAUGUGACUCCUCUUUUAGGAGAAAGCAAGCCUCCUCUAGGCACGAAGCCUUGAGAUUGGAGAAAGCCACUUGAUUCUGUGAAACUGGAUUAAUGCAGGCCAAUGGGGAUGGUGAUCAGAAAGGAUAUUGCUUUACUUUCAGGGCAUUUGAGGGAAACAUCUGACCCAAGAGCUUUCCUCUACUAGGAUGUCUCCUAUGUAUCUACUAAGAUAGUAUAGCAUCAAUGAGGGAGUCAAAAAACAAGAACACAGGCUUCUGUUUUGGAAGAUAUUUUGAAGCCAAAUGGAACAUGACUUUUCUACAGAUGUGAAGAUGGUUCUCCUAGAAUUUGACAUCCAUCUGAUGCUCCCUCUUGGGAAGCCAUCCUCUGUGACACAGGAUUUGACAAAA